AUACCUUUCUCGGCCUUUUGGCUAAGAUCAAGUGUAGUAUACAUUUUAUCGGUUUAAUAUCGAUAUGUGGCUAUCGAUUCACACGAUAUUAAUUUAAUUUUUUAAGGGGGAGAGUUCAUUAAGGUAGCUUGCUACCUGGGCUCUCGAGUGUCGCCAUGCGCUGCACUACAGCAUGGGCCUGGCGCACCCCAC